CUGAAGGGAAACCAAUAUCAGUUUGUAAAAGAAACCCUUGUAAUACACCGAACAGGUGUAUAAACAUUCCAGGUGCUCAAUGCCGUCCCUACUACUGUGGAGGUUGUUACAGGAGAUUCUAUCUAAGGAUGUUUGAGGUUACCGGUUUGUGUAGACCGACAGAACCAUCGUUUUAAAACAAAUGCAAUUCAAUGAAUUCAAUAAAACUUGUUAAGGAUUACAUAAACUAAGGAAGAAAAUGAGAUCAUUGCCAUUGAAUAAAUGACAUUAAGUGAU